CCUUCAGUUAUAAAAAAAUGAAACAGGGGUUGUCUUUGAGUCCAUAUGAUCUUCACACCAAGGGUCUUGAUUCAGAGGCUCUUCUUCUGGGCUGGUGGAGUUCAGAGCUUUCAGAAUAAGUCCCUUUACAACACUAAAACCCACAACAAGUCCAAUAAGAAGCAGUGCAAGUAACAGUCCAGUUUGAAUUAGUGACUUGAUCCAACCUGCGACACUCCAGCCUUGAAAAACAGACCCCAGCCAGUCUGAUGAUUCUCUCUUUAGGUCUCCUAUGAGGCUCUGCAUCUUUUGUAUAGUGUCAUGUAUGUCCUCAGCCCGUGAACUCAAAUUUAAACAGCAUAGUCCUGCAAACUCCUCACAGCGGUGAUUGUGAAGGAGUAAAAGGAAAUCGAUUGCAGCCCGGUUUUGGAGGGUGGCCUGCCUCGUUAUUUCCUCAUCUGAUAGGUCAGCUAGGGACUUUGAAGUAAAAUUGGCCUGCUUAGCAACCCAGCACUCGAGGUGUGCCAAUUCCCCGACUGUGUUUGCCAUAGCUACCCAGGGCAAAAGUGCAAUGGCAGCUAUGUUUUUGGAUGUGGACCACCUUAAAGUCACAAUUUUGAUCCCAAUUCUCAAGGUCAGUGUCUCUUUUUUGGCGUGCCAAUUGAUAGGUUUUGUUUAGAUUUUGCCAAUGUGCAAUUUUAGUUUUGUUAGGUGUAAACAGGCUUACCUGCCCAAAAGUACAGGGACCUCCGAUCAGGUGAGGGGGGAUGCCUGCCCAAGCUCACUGGCUGCAGAUGAGGAAGGUGCCUUUGGGUAGGGAGUGACGUUUAUUAUCAGGGGUGGAGUACAUGGGGACAUGUAUUACCCUCUGGCACCAUUCCUCUGAGGUGUAUUCAGUGGUGGUCUGCCUGAUCUCAAUGGCAAGGCGGUCUUGGGAAUCAGGGGUGACUGAGGAAAGCACACAGGUAGAAGCAGGGGAGGAACCAAGUAAAUCUAAUUCUUCAGGGCUUUUGUCCAUUAUGGGGAGCAGUUUGACCCACCUCCUCCAUGCGUCCAGUUGGUAGGCGAUGAAUGAGCGGGUUUCUUUGCCAGGGGUGGAAGUGGAUUUGGGGAAGGUGAAAGGGAAUUUGUUUAUUUGGUAUGGGAUCCCCACGAGGCAGGAUAGGAGAGGGUCAGAUGCAGAUGAUGUGGACACGCAAAUGUGAUCCUGAUUUAAGGAUUUAGCUAACGUGGCCCACACAUUGGCCUUGGGCUGAGGGACAAUCCAUGCCAGCUGGGGUGGUGAGAAUGUGACCAGGAUGAGGAGGAUGAGGCCUCUACUCAGCAGCAUCGCAGGUUGGAUCCGGGUAACAAUGAUUUCUGUAAAAUAACUGUGAUACAAAUUAAUCAUAUAGGUAGGGGAGGUCUAAAUCAAAAGGGAACAGAGAACUGAGGGAGCUGGAGAGAAAGGAUGAAUCUGAAAGAGAUGAUUUCCGCCGCCUCCUCAGAGCUGCAUUCUCCACCUGAGGACAGACAAUCACGGGUUGUACUUUAAGGAUGUGUGGUCUCACAAAUUUUGAGGGGACCCACCUCAGGCCUGAGGGUGUGGACACACAAGCACACCCACGCCCCCAGGCUACUAAAUCAUAGGGUCCCUCCUGCUGCCAUGUUUCUGAGUUUUUUACCAUGACAGGAGGUUUUUCUUUGAAUUUAGCAUCUGGGUAUGUGUGAAAAUGCCCAAUGAUUGAAGGUUUAGGUUUUCAAAGGAGCAGUUCAGAAAAUUGAUUGUAAAAAGUGCCUUAGCAAGCCGGACCUGGGGGGACUCCACCUUUAUCACUGUUUGUUGCUGCCUGAGAACUCUCUUCAAGCUCUGGUGGGUCCGCUCCACCACGGCUUGACCUGAUGGGGAAUAGGAGAUACCGGUCUUAUGUUCUAUUCCCCACUGCUGCAGGAUGCUCCCGAGGUUCUUGGAGGUAUACGCUGGGGCAUUGUCUGUUUUGAUACCUUUAGGGACGCCCAGUGUGCAGAAAGCCUUUAUCAGGUGUUUCUCAGCAUCAGCUGCUCUCUCCCCUGCGUGGGCAGAAGCAAAGACAGCACCAGAGAAAGUAUCCACAGAGACAUGAACAUACUUAAAUCUGCCAAAAGAGUGGAUGUGUGUUACAUCCAUCUGCCACAACUCACAGCUUCUCAGCCCUCUGGGGUUAGCCCCUGCACUCACAGAUGGCAUUGGGAGCGACUUACAGGAAGGGCAUGUGGCUACAAUGGCCUGGGCCUGGUCACGGGUGAGCUGGAAUUGUCUCACCAGGCCGGGUACAUUCUGAUGGUAGAGCUGGUGGAUAAUUUUUGCCUGCUGAAAUUUGUCUGGGAGUGGAGCCAUCUGGACAGGGGCAGCUGCAAGGGAAUCAGCAUGCCUAUUACCCUCCGCCAGGAACCCCGGCAGGUCGGCAUGUGACCUGAUGUGCAUCACAUAGAAGGGUUGCUCUCUGUGGGAGACUAAUCUUAUCAGCUUGGAGAGCAAGUUGUGCAAAGCAGUGUUAGAAACCCCCUGCAAAAUUGCAUCUUGAGCUCUAGACACUAUACCUGCUACAUAUGCCGAAUCAGUGACCAGAUUAAAAGGUUCAGAAAAUCUCUCAAAAGCUCUGACAACUGCGGCCAACUCAGCUACCUGGGGUGAGCCCACAACCUCAGUAAUAUCUGACUCCCACUGCUGAGUCUGAGGAUUUUUCCAGGUUACCACGGAUUUGUGGGACCCUCCGGACGCAUAUGUAAGAACAGUCAGAGCCUUUAAAGGUUUUUUACUUUGAAUAGUUUUUGUUGACAAUGUGAAUUGAACAUCCAGAUUUAAAAUUUUGUGGGCCAGUCUCAAAACAGAAAUUUGCCCGGUGUAGCUGUCUAGAGCAAAUUGUAGGGCCUGAUUUUCCUGUAGUAAGUGUUCUAGCAUUGCUUUGGUAAGUUGGCCCGAUUCUAAUCUUAAAGGAAUGUGAACGUACUCCAAGUCACAUCCACACAGCUCCCUGAUCCUGGCUCUGGCCUUGCGGAUCAAUUUUGCUACCAGCUCCUGUGGCUGUGUCAUUCUUUUGGCCCUUUGAUGACUUAUAAAGACCCACUCUAUAAUUAAGAGAGGAUCCUUCUGGUCCUUUUUUUCCGUGUGGGUGUCUCUCCACUGAAAGAUAACUCCGUGGAGGUGUGGCAGUCUGCCCAGCACUAUAAAUUCAAAGGGCAGGUCUGGAUCAUAUCUAUGGGCCUGCCGGACAGACAUUGCCUCCCAGACUUUCUCCAGUGCAGCCUUGGCCUCCGGGGUAAGAACCCUAGGAGAACUAGCCUCCUCUGCCCCUUUCAAUAAAUUGAAAAGGGGGGCUAGGUCUUCAUUUGUAAUACCCAGCCAGGGCCUUACCCAGUUUAAAGAGCCACACAGCUGCUGGACAUCUGCUAAGGUUUUGAUGUUAUUUUUAAUUACCAAUUUUUGUGGAACAGUGGUCCUCUUGCCAAUUUCCAACCCCAGGUACCUGCAGGGUGGCAUCCUCUGAAUUUUGUCCUCCUGAAGCUAGAACCCUGCAGCAACCAAAGCCUUAGUUAUCAGUUCAAGCACGUGUGUAAGUAGAUCGUCAUUGGGGGCACAAAUUAAAGUAUCAUCCAUGUAAUGAUGGAUUAUCACGCCGUCGUUGGCUGCACGGAUUGGGGCCAGCAACGAGGAGACACACCACUGACAGAUAGUCAGGCUGCAUUUUAGGCCCUGAAGAAGAACUUUCCAAUGGUAUCUCUCUGCUGGAGCUUCUCGAUGGAUAGAGGGAACUGAGAAGUCAAAACGUGGUGCAACAUCAGGGUGCAAAGGAAUUUGGAAAAAACAAUUUUUGAUGUCAAUAACUGCCAGAUUCCAAUCUUGGGGUAACAUUGUGGGGGAUGGCAUCCCUGGCUGGAGAGGACCCAUAUCUUCAAUUACUUUAUUUCUCUGAGAUCGUGGAGGAGCCGCCACUCGUCCUUGCCAGGUUUUUUAAUGACAAAGACAGGGGAAUUCCAGGGAGAUGUUGUUUCUUGGAUGUUCCCUUUGGCUAGCUGUUCACACACGAGCUGUUGGAGCGCUUUUAAUUUUUGUUUGUUUAGCGGCCACUGCUCUACCCAGACUGGAGUAUCAGAUAGCCAAUUUAAUUUCUGGGUAGGACGCCCCCUAGUGACCGCUGCCCGAAAAACCUGGGGGGGUCGGGAUGUCAAUUGUCACCCCCCACUGGGCCAUCAGGUCUCUCCCCCACAGGGGUUCUGUGUAAUCUAAAACAAAUGGACGUAGGUGUGCUAAUUGUCCAUUUGGCCCCUCAAAUUCACAAUGUUUUUUGAUUGCUUAGCCAACUGUACCCCCCCUACACCUUGAAUGUGGCCGCCCACCUCCUGCAAUUCCCAAUUGGAUGGCCAAUUCCGUGAAGGAAUGAUUGUUACAUCUGCCCCCGUGUCUAGGAGUCCAUUCAUGUGUUUACAUUCACCCCCUUUAAACAAAUAACAGUUAAUUUUGGGGCGAUCUUUUCCCAGUACCUGGGCUUGACAAAUCUUAUGAAUCUUCUCUGGUGACAGCUUCCACAGAUGUUCCGGAUGCACUGGUGGGCCAGUCACUGGAAUAGCCUGUGCUAUAAUUUGUCCUUUGGGAAUGAACACUGGGGGUUGAAAGCAGUGCAGCCACACUACUAACUGUUUUGGGUUUGAGUCAGUUAAACAAGGAGCAAUAGUUAUCUCGACUGGCGUGUAUUUAGUGUCCCCAAUAACGAUAUACCUACUGCGGAUGUUUCUCCAGGUCUCAGGGUUCCCAGUAUCGACUGUGACAAAAUGCCAAUCUGUGUCCUUGAGAUACAAAGGCUCAGUUAGUGCCAGCCUGAAAGGAGAAGAAUUAGAACAGGUGUUAAGCACGGGUUUAGGAUGGUCAGGGUCCCGACCCAACCAAAACCUGGAAAUAAAAGGCACAUCAUCCCCUGGGUGAUUAAUUUGAUUUUCUAAGGUCACGUUAAUGAAUGAUUGUCAGUGUCCUCAGGUGGGUGCUGGGAGUCACUGCCCACCUCCUCCAGUGAUGGUAUUCAUCCCACCUCAUUUGUGUCUGCAUGCAGGGAGGAACUGCGCUGACAGCCUAGUUUUUUGGACCUUCCCCCUGGUGAGGAAUCCCUCGCCCCUGUUGAUUUUUAAACUGUAAAAAUUCGUCCUUAACUGGGCACUGGCGUGCCCAAUGUCCCUUCUGGUUGCACAGAAAACAACGUGUUCCUUGUUUCAGUCCCUUUGGGGGUGGUCCCGGAAAGCGAUGAGGCGGGGUGGCUGUGGCUGCCGGUGGUGCAGUGUCCAUGCUGGAGGCUUCGGCAAUAGAAACCCUUUUUAGAGGCGUCCGGAAUUCCCUGAUGUCCUUUGCAGGGAUGGAGACUUUCCGCGCGCAGACCUCUAGCAUGUUUUGUAGAGUGGGGUCAGGAUCGAGGGGGAGGCUGAGGAUGGCAUUCUGGCAAGCCUCGUUUGCAUUCUGCCGCGCGAUCACGGUAAUUAUUUCUUGCUGGAGCGUCUCGUCUGACACUUGUGUAUCUACAGCCCGAUGGAGUCGGUCUACAAAACUUACAAAAGAUUCUAAAGGCUCUUGUUUAAUUGACAAAUAAUUAACAACGGGGCCACUAAGUUUCAGCCUAAAGAAUGCCUUUUCUGCUGCUUUUGCACUCAGAAGCAAAGCUUCUCUUGGUAACUUUUCUGCCUGUUUUGGACCUGAUUUCCAAUCCUCAUUCCCACAUAAGUGGCUUGUUGAAAGCACCUUCCCGUCUGA
rnacentral:lncRNA from 1 species